CUACGGGCGCUGCAGUGAGGAAUUUUGCGCAAUGGGGGAAACCCUGACGCAGCAACGCCGCGUGAGUGAUGAAGGCUUUCGGGUCGUAAAGCUCUGUCAAGUGGGAAGAACAUGUUUGAUGCUAAUACCAUCUUGCACUGACGGUACCACUGAAGGAAGCACCGGCUAACUCCGUGCCAGCAGCCGCGGUAAUACGGGGGGUGCAAGCGUUAUUCGGAAUUAUUGGGCGUAAAGGGCGCGUAGGCGGUCUCUUAAGUCAGAUGUGAAAGCCCGGGGCUUAACCCCGGAAGUGCAUUUGAAACUAAGGGACUUGAGUAUGGGAGAGGGAAGUGGAAUUCCUGGUGUAGAGGUGAAAUUCGUAGAUAUCAGGAGGAACACCGGUGGCGAAGGCGACUUCCUGGACCAAUACUGACGCUGAGGCGCGAAGGCGUGGGGAGCAAACAGGAUUAGAUACCCCCGUAGUC
rnacentral:rRNA from 1 species